CACGUAGGGACCGAGCGUUGUCCGGAUUCAUUGGGCGUAAAGAGCUCGUAGGCGGUCGGGUAAGUCGGGUGUGAAAUCUCCGGGCUCAACUCGGAGGGGCCACCCGAUACUGCACGACUCGAGUCCGGUAGGGGAGUGGGGAAUUCCUGGUGUAGCGGUGAAAUGCGCAGAUAUCAGGAGGAACACCAAUGGCGAAGGCAGCUCGCUGGGACGGUACUGACGCUGAGGAGCGAAAGCGUGGGGAGCGAACAGG
rnacentral:rRNA from 1 species